ACUGCAAAUUUUUGUAAUGAUAAAAUAUGAUCUUUUUAUUUAUAUUGUUGAAUUUGUAUGGUUGUCUGUACAAACUGAUUCACCCCUUGUAGUUUAAAAACAUAUAUUAAUUAUUACUUAACAACGAGAGACACCUUUCUUGCAAUAACUUUUUUUAUACAUGUAAAAAGUUGAUCACUUUAUUAGUACAGGUGAAGGGGCAUAUGUUUAUCAGUGAUAUUAGAUUGGUUUUUCAAAACAAACGUAUCUGUUGUGACAACGGCACGCGUUAUCAAUAAGUAAACCAUUUUAAGCUCCGUAUUUGGCGAAAGAUAGCUACUUUUACCUAAUCUGUAUCGAACAAAAUGUGUAGUCAAAUUAGUUACACCAUUCAUUAGUCUUAUCAUUGUUAGUUUGUUCAGUUUGACAUGAACAUCGAAUUGAGAAGUACACCUUUUCUUUGGUUAAACUUUGUGAUUGUUUUCUGGGACUAGUUUAGCUGCAAUUUUACAUUUUUAGUGGCCACAAGGCCAUGGGUCACAGCCACUCUUCUUCACACAAACGUUUACGAUCAAUAUCAUCAUCCAGAUAUGGUGCAGAAUUUACAGAAGUUGUCGACUUAGAGUUCAGCGACACCAGUGUUUAUUCGGAACCAGUUGGAAAUAGUUCAGAAAAUAAAUCCGUCAAACCUGUUACAACCAAUCUUAAAAAUUGCAAUAAACUGAACAGUGUGCCGGAAGAGAUGGCGCAAAUUCAGUACCCGAAAGAUCUGUUACUACUAGAUGAUCAUGUCAAAGAAAUCGCUGAUCAAAUUGAUACUUUAUCGUCGGAAGAAUUUUUCGUUUAUUUUCCGUCGCUCAAGGACGAUCUUCAUAAUUGCUGGCAAAAGGUCUACAGCAUUCGGGAGGAGAAUUCCGAAAUUAAAUUGAAAAAACAUGCAAUUAUUGACAGUAUUAGAGAAUCUCUGAAGAAAUUGAAUAUCAAGCUGCAACAAAGAGAAUUUGGUGGAUAAAAUGGUUUUGAUCGGAAAGCCACAUUUAGUUGAAGACUUUUUUUGUAUAAAAACAACACUAUAUUAACAUGCGGCUUUAAAAACUAAAACUAUAUCGAUCUGAUUUCCUAUUUAAAAAUCGAGAUCUUUGUAUAAAACUUCUUGAACAAACUUUAUUAUAACAAAAUUAUAUAUUUAAAGUUUUUUUAAUGUAAUUAUAUCGACCAAAACUUGAACAAUCAUACAUUUUUAAAGAUUUUAAUCCCGAAGAAUAUUUAGCGUGUGACAAUAAACUUGGUUCUCUACGGAAA